AGAGUUUGAUCCUGGCUCAGGAUGAACGCUGGCGGUAUGCUUAACACAUGCAAGUCGAACGAAAGUUUUUAACUUUAGUGGCGAACGGGUGCGUAAUACGUGAGAAUCUGCCCUUAGGAGGAGGAUAACUGCUGGAAACGGCUGCUAACACUCCAUAUGUCGAGAGAUGAAAUAAUUUAUUGCCUAAGAAUGAGCUCGCGCCUGAUUAGCUUGUUGGUGAGGUAAUGGCUCACCAAGGCCACGAUCAGUAGCUGGUUUGAGAGAACGAUCAGCCACACUGGGACUGAGACACGGCCCAGACUCCUCCGGGAGGCAGCAGUGAGGAAUUUUCCGCAAUGGGCGAAAGCCUGACGGAGCAAUACCGCGUGAGGGAUGAAGGAUUUUGGUCUGUAAACCUCUUUUCUCAAGAAAGAAGUUCUGACGGUACUUGAGGAAUAAGCAUCGGCUAACUCCGUGCCAGCCGCCGCGGU
rnacentral:rRNA from 1 species